GAUGAACGCUGACAGAAUGCUUAACACAUCAGCAAUUGAUUGGUGGCGGACGGGGGAGUAACGCGUAAAGAACUUGCCUCACAGCUAGGGACAAAAUUUGGAAACGAAUGCUAAUACCUAAUACUGUGAGAGAGCUUUGCGUCCCAUUAGCUAGGUGGAGAGGUAAAGGAUCACCAAGGCGAUGAUGGGUAGCCGGCCUGAGAGGGUGAUCGGCCACAAGGGGCCUGGGACACGACCCUUACGCCUACGGGAGGCAUGAGUGGGGGUUAGUGGACAAUGGGCCGAUGUCUGAUCCAGCAAUUCUGUGUGCACGAUUCUGUUUUCGGGAUGUAAAGUGCUUUCAGUUGGGAAGCGGUACCAACAUAAGAAGUGACGGCUAAAUACGUGCCAGCAGCCGCGGUAAUUC
rnacentral:rRNA from 1 species